GGGGAGGGAGCGGCUGUGGGCUGUGGGCGGCCAUGGCCCUUCUCUGCCAUCCCUGCCGUGAGGGGACGGGGCGGCUCAGGUCGAGCAUGCCUCUUUCCCCGCCGCCGUGAGGGGAAGGAGCGGCGCUGCGCGGGCCGGGCCGCCAUGCGGCGCCGCCGCCGCCAUGAGGCCUUCAGCCGAUGUGGAGGAUCACGGUGACGGAGCUGUGAGUGGUCGGGAGCAGCCCUGAGGUGACCCCCGAGCUGAGCUGUGCUAUGCUGGGACAGCCAAGGAGGGCACCGGGGCCUGCAGGGAGGAGAUGUGAAGAGAUAACCUGCCCGUGAGGCACAGGGAGAGCUCUGGAGCAACGUGGCUGAGGUGAAUUGGUGUGGGGCUUGCUGGAGCAGCAGGAGUGGUCAGAAGAAAAGCUGUCAGUGCUGCUUUGAAAGGUGUUGAGAUGAAAACCUGGAGCCCACUGCUUAAAUGGGGCACCUGGAGAAGAAUUUGUUUUCAGGAUGUAGAUGUAGGAAUUGGAAACAUCAAAGGGGAUUUGGGUCAAGAUGUAACAAGAAUUACAUAUACAAUUUAUUGUUAACCUCCUCUCACUGCUUGUUUAAAAUAUA